ensembl:lncRNA
CAUGACCUCUACAUGGAAUUCUCUUCCCUCAACUCGGUUCUCAGGUAUCACGUAAUUGUCGUUUUCUCAAAGUGGCCUUUGAUGCUCCCAACCCAAUAGGUUUCCCUGGUUCUUUCACAGGACCCUGAACGCUUCCUUCGUGAUACUUGUCACGGUUUUAAGAGUUUGUAUUUGGGGAAGAUUGCUUAAGGUCCAUCUGCUCUAGUGGCUUGAAAGCCCUCUGAAGCCAGGGAUCCGGUCUGUUUCAUUCAGCAAUGUGUCCUCCACCCCUCGCUCCUAGACCGGACCCACUGCCAGGCACGUCACAGACCACUGAUUAAACAACAAAUUCCACCCUCCAAGUCCACACCCACACCAGGGGCAGCUCUCAGAGAACACACCCCACCAUCCAUCUCUAGCCCCAAGAACUGACUCAAGAGGCUUCGUCUAUGAAGGUUUCUGGGGUUCCCCGUCGCUAUACCAUAUUUGAAUGUAGGGGGCCAUGGGAAGGAGGAAGGGGAACUCGGGAGGAGAGGCAGGUUAAGGAGGAGAGGAGGAUUUCAGGUGGGAGCCUGGAACGUCAAAGAGGGGCUAUCAGGAGGCAGUUGGCUGGAUCAGGCUGGUGCUCAGAAGGGCAGGCUGGAUUAGAAGGAGAGGCGCCCUGGGGUCGAAGCCUUGGGCAUAAAGAUCUCUCAUAGUCCUGUACAAAAGAAAAAGAGUCCAAGGAGGGGGCCCAGAGGACCUGGACUUAAGGGCUAAGCAGAGGAAAACAUCCCUGGAGGCAAAGAGACAGUGUCCAGAAAAGGAGGCAGAGGAUCAGGAGGGAGCGGUCACAGAAGGCAAGAGAGGAGGCCACCUUAGGCACUAAAUCCCAUACACCUGUGUUUCCUUCUUCCUUGUUCAAGCUCAGCAUCUGGUACCUGGUGAGUUGAGGCAGCCUGGCGGAGGCGAAGGGCUUGGACUCCAUCUGAAUCCUGACUCCACGUACACACAGGCUCUGCAACUGUGGGCGGCGGACUUAACUUUCCCAGACUCCUUGGAGUCUCCGCUGCGGAGCAGGCGUCAUGCGCGUGUUUCCUUUAUGGGCUGCUGUCGGGAUUACACAGAUCGUCUUUGGAGAGCCUUUCCAUGCGUGUUUAGUUCACAGUCUAGGAAUGAAUGCGCAUCAUAAGUGCAUACACAGCACAGCGGGAUGCCCUGGUUCCAGCGAAUAGGAUUGUUUCUUACGUUCGGCCAGUAACAGGGCUUCAGACAACAAAGAGUCCCCCUCACCUCCUUCUGUUACAGGCUCCCUUCGGAUUCCAUCCCUAUGAAACAAACCUGCAGUGGGCAGGCUCUGGUUAAUACUGUCCUUUCUCCAAAGCUGCCUCCUGAAAAUUGGCUUUCCCCCAAGCGUGCCCCCAGUCGAAGGAUGCCAGAGUUUGCCUACUGGACUGCAACGAAACCCUGUGUUCCAGACAACCGCGGUGACGUUGCCUCCUCAACACAGCUCCCUCCUGUGGAUACAGGCAGGGGUUCUCAGGCUCCUUAGUUGGGAGAAACCACUGCUGUCUGCCAGGAGCUUCGGACCUUCUCCUCUCUCGAGGACAGGGAAGUGUGGGGAUGACCGAUUCACAGCUUCGAAAGUACCCCCACAAGAGAACCUCCCUCUCAUCCUCACAACUGCCCUGUGAGGUAGAUACAGCAGAUAGAACUACACCAGUCCAUGUGGAUCAGGCAUUCACAAUACAUGGUGCUCUGUGUUAAGCAUCGUCAUGAGUGACCUCAUUCAAACUCACCAAAAUCCUAUGAGACGGGCUCACUCUGUUUUUCCAUAUUACAGAAGAGGAAAGCGGGGCUCAGAGGGGUUAGACCACACCCCAGAUCAAAGAGGUAGUAAGUAAUGGGUUCCAAUCUCAGACUGUCUGACUCCGAUGCCACACCUUAAAGCCUUCUUCAGUACGGCCUUGCAAAGCAAGUGCAUUAUUUUCCAGGCUCCAUUCUGUCCAUUCGAUUGAAGCUCAGAGAGGUCAAGCGACUUGCCCAAGGUCUCACAACCAGGAACUGGCAGGGCUGGAUAAAUUGGAUCUUCUGAGGCUCCUGGCGUGAAGCUUGUCUGUGGCUGGCUUUACAAAACACUAGAUCAUUAUUUUUGCUGCAGAGGCGCCAUGCCAAUCCUGGUUAGCUUAGGAGAGUAUGUCUACGCAAGAGGUCCUUCCUGACAGUUUUCAGGAAAUUUCUAUUUUUUUGAAUCCCAAGAAGAGUCAGCCAAGAGACUGGCAGCCAAGAGAUUGGGAGGAAUAGGAAAAAAGUAUCAUAGUUCUUCUGUGAGAAUUAAUGCUUAACAAGAAACAUCGAGGCGUUCCUGGUUUGAAGGAAUCCACUGACGUCAAGUAGAAAGCGUGAGAAGGAAAACACUGACACGUAGAGUCCAAGGUUAAGGUAGACAUUUCUGGAACUUGGGACAGAAUUUGUUGCAAUCUAAUCAGUUUUUUGUUUUUUUUGUUUUUAGCUGCUGCCAUAUUAAAAAAAGUAUUUGUGGCCCUAUCUGCUGUUAACAGUGAGUCAUUUUCACAAAUCAAAAUAAAUAUUAACCUGU